GUGCUCGCUUCGGCAGCACAUACACUAAAAUUGGAAUGCUACAGAGAAGAUUAGCAUGGCCCCUGUGCAAUGAUGACACGCAAAUUUGUGAAGCAUUCCAUAUUUUU